AGCGAACGUUUGCGGCGGGCCUAACACAUGCAAGUCGAACGCACUAGCAAUAGUGAGUGGCGCACGGGUGCGUAACACGUGGGUAAUCAACCCUUCAGCUUGGGAUAACGACUUGAAAGGGUCGCUAAUACCGGAUACGGCGCGGGAGGCUUCGGCUUCUCACGAGAAAGCCUCGCAAGGGGCACUGAAGGACGAGCCUGCGGCCCAUCAGCUAGUUGGUGAGGUAAGAGCUCACCAAGGCGAAGACGGGUAGCUGGUCUGAGAGGAUGAUCAGCCACACUGGAACUGAGACACGGUCCAGACUCCUACGGGAGGCAGCAGUGGGGAAUAUUGCGCAAUGGGCGAAAGCCUGACGCAGCCACGCCGCGUGAGCGAUGAAGGCCUCGGUCGUAAAGACUCUGUGGGGAGAGACGAAGAAAGACCCGUGAAGAGCGGGCCUUGACGGUAUCUCCUUAGCAAGCACCGG
rnacentral:rRNA from 1 species